AGAUUGAACGCUAGCGGGAUGCUUUACACAUGCAAGUCGAACGGCAGCGCGGACUUCGGUCUGGCGGCGAGUGGCGAACGGGUGAGUAAUAUAUCGGAACGUGCCCAGUAGCGGGGGUAUAACUACGCGAAAGCGUGGCUAAUACCGCAUACGCCCUACGGGGGAAAGGGGGGGAUCGCAAGACCUCUCACUAUUGGAGCGGCCGAUAUCAGAUUAGCUAGUUGGUGAGGUAAAGGCUCACCAAGGCGACGAUCUGUAGCUGGUUUGAGAGGACGACCAGCCACACUGGGACUGAGACACGGCCCAGACUCCGUACGGGAGGCAGCAGUGGGAAUUUGGACAAGUGGGGAAACCCUGAUCCAGCCAUCCCGCGUGUGCGAUGAAGGCCUUGGGUUAGUAAGCUACUUUGGCGAGGAAGAAACGGACGUCGACCCGUAA
rnacentral:rRNA from 1 species